AGAUUAUCAAUACUAUCUAUAUUAGAGUAUAGGUUAUUAAUACUGUCUAUAUUAUAGUAUAGGUUAUCAAUACUGGCAAUAUUACAUUAUAGGUUAUCAAUACUGUCUAUAUUACAGUAUAGGUUAUCGAUACUGUCUACAUUAGAGUAUAGGUUAUCAAUACUAUCUAUUACAGUAUAGGUUAUCAAGACUGUCAAAAUUACAUUAUAGGUUGUCAACACUGUCUAUAUUACAGUAUAGGUUAUCAAUUCCAUCUAUACUACAGCAUAGGUUAUCAAUACUCUCUAUAUUAGAGUAUAGUUUAUCAAUACUAUUUAUAUUACAGUAUAGGUUAACAAUAUUGUCAAUUUUACCUCUCUUUCUCUCUCUCACUCUUCCCCCCUCUCUCUCUCCCCUCUCUCCCCCCCAUCUCUCUCUCCCCCAGUCCCUCCCCUUGUGUCUCUGACAGCUGCAGCCUCCACAGACACCAGCAGCCCCGCCCUCCUCCUCCCCCGUCUUCCCCCCUGCCUGCCCCCCCUCCUCCUCAGCCCUCCUCUCCUGCCCGGGACAUCAAGGAGAACAAGAGGGUCCACUUUGAUCUGGAGAGUCUACACAGCUACCGUCUACACACACACACCGCCUCGUUCUGGGGACGUCCUGGCAUGGUGGGGCGACACGGCCUGGGAGGGUGUCUGGGUGGUUUAUCUCCUCCUCAGGUUAGCCUGCAUGCUAACGGUGGCCCAGCAUCGGCCCUGGCCUCCCCCGGCCUGGCCCUGCCUCCUCUGGGGAACCCAGGCAACCAGGCCUUCCUAUGGGAGGGAGAGCUCCAGGAGGUCCAGGGGAGGAUCGAGACGUUCACAGCCCAGCUAAGAGAUGCCGUGGCCAGGAGGGCCGAGAUACAGACCUGCCUGGAGAACCAUAAAAUGAACCAGAGCACAGCUACUGCUGUCAAACUGGAGAAAGACAAGGUUGGCCAGUCACAAAGCCUGGAGAGAGUGAGAACCAACGCAGAGAAAGAUAGAACCAAGGAAGAGAGAGAGGGGCUCAACCAGGAGAAAGGGAUGAGUGGCAGAUCAAACCUCUGUAGCAGCCUGGACAGAGACAGAGACAGAGACAGGACAAGCAGGGACAGUUCCACUGUGAGACAAACAGCCAGACAGGACACAGACAGGGACAGACUGUUACACCAAUCAGAAACUGAGAGAGACAGAGACGACCAAUCAAAAAGCCUGGGCGGAAAUGGGAGCAGCCAAUCACAUGCCUCCAACAUUCUGCAGACAGGGAGGAACAGCCAAUCAGAAGCUCUGAACAUCCUACAGAGGAGGAGAGAGAUCCAAUCAAAAACCUCUGCCAGCCUGGACAGAGGGACAACCAACCAAUCAGGUGCUGUCAAUACACUGCAGGGAGAAAGAACUGUCCAAUCAUGUAACUCCACCAGUCUGGAGAGAGGAAGAGCCAGGCAAUCAGGUGCAGUGAAAGACCAGGAGAAGGGGAGAACUGUCCAAACACGGACAGGGGCUAGUCUGGACAGACUGAGAGCUAUCCAAUCCAGUGCCUGCACUGGGAAUCUGGUUAGAGAACGUCCCGCCCCUGUGGACACCCAGAAGAGUUUGUGUUAG
ensembl:lncRNA